UUUUGAAGUCAAAUAUAACCUAUGACACCUAGUUUUUUUUCUCUAUACAGCACAAUAUUUACCGAGUGAAACGCCUCGGGUCUCGAACUAGCUUAGUUAGACCAGACAGCUUGCUAGAUAAAUUGCUAACUUUUUGAAGUCAGAAGCUGUGGUUUCCUUUGAUAAGGUGUUUUAUCUGAAAUAAUCUAGCUAAUUUGGCUUUGUAUGAUUUUGGCCUAAAUCAUUUGAUAUGAUAAUUUUACUUUGAAUGUCUGAGAGUCCCGGAAGAGCCGCUGUCAUCUGUUUUGCAGACCGCGGUAAAAUGUCGUUAUUUCCUGCUCCCUGAAAAAGGUUGUCGUUGGGUUGGCGCGACAGUGAUUGUAAACAGAUGAUAAUAAUAACAUUCUAAACAACAUUCAUCGAAUCUAUUUUCAUAUGGUACAUCUCUGAGCCAUUGAUUGAGCAUCGGGAGAAUGGAGGGGGAUUUGAUGGACGAAGUGUAUGGUGAUCUCAGUCAAGACAACUGCAAUACGGUGGCAGCAAUCGAUGAUGAUUCUAUGGAUAUUUAUUCUGGUUUGGCAAGUCCAAGGAUUUAUCCAAAUGCAGAAAGAAACUGCACAUUCCUCUCACCACAGAAUCUGAGCUCUAUGGAUUUAUAUGAAGAAAUCAUAACGGAGGAACAACAGGAUAAAGACUCUUCCUACAAUGAGUUGAGGACAAGAUACAAUGCUGCACAAAGCCAAAUUGAAGAGUUACUUAGGCGGUUGCAGCAGAUUGAAACAAAGAAUACAACGCUGAACACUGAGAACAGCCGUCUGAAGAAGAACAUCUGUGCGCUCAUCAAAACAGCUAAAAUGGAGGUUGUGCGGAAGGACAAGGAGAUAAAUAGGUUGAGCCAAAGUUUCAGGCCAGAGAGAGGUCCUGCUGCUCACCAUCAAUCUCAGAUGAACUGCUUGAAAAAUCAAGGUCCAAUGAGACUGAAUCCUAUGGGGCCUUAUCAACCAGAAGUUCCAACCAGACUGAAUCCUACAGGGCCUUAUCAACCAGAAGUUCCAACCAGACUGAAUCAUACGGGGCCUUAUCAACCAGAAGUUCCAACCAAACUGAAUCCUACGGGGCCUUAUCAACCAGAAGUUCCAACCAGACUGAAUCAUACGGGUCCACCUCCACCAACUCAACUACCAGGAUCUAAGGGUUGUGUUGUAAAGGAUCUUCAUCAGCUGCACUGUCAAGACAGAGAUGUGGUCCUCCCCCAACCCCCAUCUGACGCAAGAAAUUUCAGACCACCUCUUCCUGUCACCUCUAGAGGCGAUUCAGAAGCUUCAGUGAAAGACACAUAUUCUUCUGUUAGCAGUUCCAGUAAGGACUCCGUGAAAAGACACCAUACACGUGAACUAGGCCUGUCAGACAAGCCAAAACAAACCAAGCACAGAGAAGGCAGAGGUGAAAGUCCCAGGCUGUCUGAGUCGAAGGAGCAGCGACAUAAAAACAGUCCAGAUGUAAAUAAGGAAUCUCAUUCAGAUGAGAGGAACCGGUCACACAGAGCACAAAAAGAUAUUGGAAAAUAUGAUUCUAAGUCAAACAAAAGCAGAUACCCUCAUCCCUCAGAUGUUGAGGUACACAGGAGAUCAGAUAAGUCUAAAAGCCCACACUCAGACAUUUUGCAUUGCACUGCUUCCUCUUACCGUACGUCUAAAGGAUUGUCUAAAGACAGUGCAGACAUUCUAUCAACAGGGUCUAGUCGACAUGAUAAGGUGCUUAGCUUUGAUAAGGAUGACGAUAAGCGUAGUAGAAGUAUUAAAGACAUUUCCUCUAAAAACAGAAUGCAUGCCUAUUCAAAUCAAGCCAGUCUCACUAAACGAUCCAGUGAAUAUUUUAAUCGCAAGGGAGGGACAAGUCCUCCAAGGGACCAUCGAAGGAAAAAAGAGAGAAAAAGAGAGGAUGAGAUCAGAAAAGAGAAAAACAAGUCAGGAGAAAGAAAAAGCAGUUGUACAGAGAGAGGAAAGGAGCGCGAGGAAAAAAGAACAAAGGAACAUAACCGAUGCAGUGCGGACGUCAGUAAGGACAAGAACAUGGUCAAUGGUAAAGUCAGGGAGCAAAAGACACAUGAGGAAUCGGAAGUGCUUCCACCUGAGGCCAAAGUGGCUGAGAAAAGCUCUAAAGAGGAAAACGGUCCCAACAGAAAGUUAAGUUUCAUGGAAACUCUGAACCUCACCCUGUCACCAGUUAAAACACCAAGACAGUCUGCUGAAGUCAAGGAACAGGAGGAGGGCACACCACCUGAUGAGGUGCCUGAAGAUCAGUCAGCAGAAGACAGUGGACAAACUCAUCUUGGAGAAUUGCUUGUAGUAGACAAAAUCCACAGUAGUGUAGUAGACACCCAUGAGGUCUUUGAGAACCCUGUUAUACAGCCCUCUUCAGAAAUCUCAAAGCCUCCACAACCUGAAAGUAUGGAGAGUAGACAUACAGAGAGAGAAUCUUGUCAGGAUGCUGAAAAGCCUCUGUCUGAAGCCAAAGAGCGACAUAAGUGCCAGUUAGAAGUAGAAGACAGUACUGUCCAAGAUGGCUCCGAAGGAAGACCUGAGCUGCCCGAUGCCAUGGAGGGUCAGAGGACUAAACCCACCACACCAGAACCUCUCAGGAAGGAUUUUGUUUCAGCUCCAGACUGUGACAUUGUUUUGAAAACUCCACUGGAGAGCAGACUUGAAAAAUGUGACUCAGAAAGAAAAACUGGCACGUCUAAGGAUUUGACUGCUGCUGCUGUCUCUGCGACUACUACUUCUGUCACUGAGAAUUGUGGAAACAAUUCAAAUACCGACACUGGCCUAUCUGCUAAUGGACUUACCCCUGAACAUUCAACUGGAGACUCACUGGUUAUUAUUACUGACAAGUCCAACAGUGAAACUCCCAGUGCUUUGGUCUGUAAAAGCCAAGCUGUUGAAACUGUGACACAAGAUCCACCUGCUGUCUGUGUGGGACAUCCUGCUGUUGAAGGUAGUCCAGGAAAACAAUCAGAAUCUCUGAAAUGUACACCUUUUGUCCAACCUAAGGGCCUUCAACAAAUGCCUGCUUCCAUUAUUACUAAUUCUAGUCUGGAGAAAAAUGGGACAGAGGUGCAAGAUGUUUCCAAGGAUGCUGUGUCCAGUACGAUUAGCAUGGAGGUAGAUAUCGGCAUCACGUCUGAGGUCAUUACUGAUGUUACAGAAAUCCCUGUGGAGUGUGAGAAGGAGAAAACUCUUGUGGAACAAAGUUCACCAUUGAGCAGUAUUGGGGUGUCUAAGGUGAGUAGCACCACAGGAGAAGUUGCACCAUCUGAACAGUACAACUGUGGUUUGGCAGAGACACCAAAGAAGUACCUAAAUUCUGAGCCAAGCUACACAGAGAAUGAAGAGGAGAAUGUUGAGCCCUCCAGCUCCAUUCCGAUGGCCCAUGAUGAGGACUCGAUGAUGCUCACACUGAGUAAUCUAAAAGUCAUUCCACAUGCCAUAAGCCCACUCACAAGCCCAGUCCGCCUGAAGACGAAAAGCCAGCAGCUGCCAUGUCACAGCAAACCUGCUUACUUCAAGAGUCUUUGCAAAGAUUUUCCCAGUGCUACUGGAGAUUCCAAUUCAAAGAAGUUGGAAGUGAAUCAGGAGAACAACAAUCCUGGCUGCUCUGUCACACAUGCUGCACAACGAGAUGUGGAUGAGACAUCUGUCCAUCCUUCCAGCCUUGAGGAACUGGAAGAGGGUGAAAUUGUUAGUGAAAGUGAAGAGGAAGAAACUCCAGUCAUGCCAAGUUCUCCACCCAUGACGGUUCGGCCCACAAGAACGAAUAAAAAUCAACCAACUCUCAAGUCAUCCCCUAGACUUUCAAAGAAGCCGGCCAAAGAAAAUAGUUUAGUUUCACAACAGAAUUUUAAACUCGGAAGUAAAACCUUGACUUCACCAUUUGGAAGCCCCACAUCAAACAAAACCCGCUACAGAACUGUUCAACCUCCUUUACCCAAUGCUGCCUUGUCUACCGUGGAGGAGGUUAUGGCCAUGCUUGCAAAGAUUCGCUAUGAGUGCAGAAAAAAGUACAUGAAGCUUCAUUCAACAUUCCCUAAGAAAACCUUCUGCGGUGUUAUGGACAUGUCCUUUUUUCCCUCUUUUACAGACUUUGUUGAUAGUGUAAGCUUUACUAAACUAUGCAGCCAAGAAGAUUACCUCAAAGUUAAACUGAAGAACAUCAUCAUUUCUGUUUUGAGUAAGUUAUCAAAUAAUGGCAUUGUCAACCGCAUCUUUGACCAAGAACCACUUAAUAUGAAGUUGAAACUGUGGGAAUUCGUGGAUGUGCAGUUAGACUUCUUAUUCAAGGAGAUUCAAACUGCACUGAGAAGUGUUUGCAAAUCCUCAAACGGAAGCCAGUCGGCAGGAGCAGAAAAAAGAGACAGUCUCUCUGGAAAGGGUGUACCCAAGCUGCCUGUGAAGUCCCCCAAGCCAUCUGUGGCCACUGAACUUAAAAUGCAGCAGGGAGUGACCAUAACCAGAACUUCUGCACCAAAAAGACUGCAAAAGGAAUUCACUGAGUGUGUUGAAACCAGCAUGAAAAGAACCAGGUCUCGGACUGUCCCCCCUUGCAAAACAGGUCUUGGAAGAGGCAAAAAUAUUAAAAUGUCCUUCGAAGAGGAUAUGGAAUCGGUGCCUCAAACCUCAGAUCCUCCUGUUAUCCAACCUCCUUUGCAAAACGUGGUAGAGAUCUUACCAUCAAACAGCUCUUCAUCUGCUGAGAAAACAGCAACCUAUGUUCGCCGGCUGUCUCAAAAUGUCUCACUCCAUGACAAGCCUGACUUUGAAAUCCUCACAGAACAGCAAGCCUCCAGCCUAACGUUCAACCUGGUAACGGACUCUCAGAUGGGAGAGAUCUUCAAGUGUCUUUUACAAGGGUCUGAUCUGCUAGAAACAAGUGUUUCAGCUGGGGACAAUCAUGGCUGGUCCCUUGGUACUCCUCUGAAAGAAAGGGAGCGUUUCCUAGGCGUUGGUACCCCAAGUAAAGUUGGUACUCCCUCUAAACUCAUUGCCACAUGGUCAGCUAUUUCACCUAUCAAGUUUUCCUCUCCAAAUUCAAAAGUCCAAAUUCCAUUAAAUCCAUCUUUGUUGGAUGAGAGUUGCAUGUUAGAGGUGCCCUCCGGCCUACCAGAAAUCAGAAGGACACCACAGUCCAGUGUGUUCUCGCAUAGAUCAUAUUCCAUAUUGGCAGAAGAUCUGUCUGGGUCUCUCACAAUUCCCUCACCUCUCAAGUCUGACAAUCACCUCAGCUUUUUGCACCCAGCCAGCGGCGAGCCCAUGUCUGCUCCGGACAGUGUCAUCAGUGCACACUUCAGUGAGGAUGCUCUUAUGGAUGGGGAAGACGCUACAGAGCAGGACAUUCACCUUGCCCUGGACACGGACAACUCCAGCGGUGCAUCAAGCGGUGGUGGCAGGACCAGGGAGGCUCCUGUUAACCCCUUGUUUCACUUCAAGCCUCACUUGCCCAUGCAGGCAGUAGUGAUGGAGAAGUCAAAUGAUCAUUUCAUUGUGAGGAUACGGCAUGCAAACACCAACUCCACCAACUCGGGGGUCAACUCCUCAAGCCCAGGCAGUGUCAACUCUACCUACCAAGGAAAUAACUCCUCAAGCCCAGGCAGCGUCAACUCUACCUACCAAGGAAAUAACUUCUCAAGCCCAGGCAGUGUCAACUCCACAAGCUUAGGAAUUAAUUCAUCAAGCCUAGUAGUGAAUUCUUUAAGCCCAGACAUCAAUUCCACCAAACAAGUGGUCAACUACAUCAACCUAGGAAUCAACUCAAGCCAAGAAGUCAACUCUUCAAGCCCAGGCAGUGUCAACUCUACCUACCCAGGAAAUAAUGCCACCAACCCAGAAAAUAACUGUGCCUACCCAUGUGUCAACUUCACAAGCCCAGAAGUAAUUUCUACCAACCCAGGCAUCAGCCCCACAAGUGCAGAAAUCAAUCCUGGGGGUGCUGAGAGCCCUCAAACACCACCAGGACAAGAAAAACAUGGUAAAGACGAAGAUCAGCCCCCAGAAAAAACUCCUUCAAAAUCCCCUUUUUCAGAGGCCAUUCCUCCUUUCUACCUUUCCAGCCUUUCCACAAGCACCGAAACAGCAUCUGCGCUAUCUUCGCCAUGCCUCACCAUCAUAGAAGACACACCAGAGAGAGACCACAGCAAGGGUAAGACCGGGAAAAAGCGCACAAAGCACCAUGUGGAAACUAAAGCAAAGCGGGCUAAAAGGGAGGUGAUCCCAGAGAGGAGCAUGCAUAAAAAGAAGUCCUCAAAAAGUCCCAAAGGAAAGGGGACUGGAAGCUCCAAGAGGGAGAGAAGUGAAGUCAUUACUCCACCCCAAUCUACCCCAUCACCCAACAGCCUGUCUGCCAAGAAUAUCAUAGUAAAAAAGGGUGAAGUGAUGGUGACGUGGACAAGGGAUGAAGACCGAGAUAUUCUCCUCGCACUGAAGAUGAAAGGUUCCUCUCCAGAUACUUUCUCUGCCCUUUCAGAGAAAUUGAACAAGACACCCGCUCAGGCAACCCUUGCUCGAAUUUCAUCUACCUUGUUGUCAAGAGACUGGAGAUUGGCGAGUAAUAUACUUGUGCACGUCGCCCACCGCUCCCGUCUACGGAGCCUGACCAGGAGGCUUCCCCUUCUUGUUUUGGGUCGGCUUCUGAGAUUAGAUCCAUUAUCCUGGGUGGUGGUCCAAACACAGGAUCCGCUUUGAGAAAGUCGUAUUCCUUGUCGUAAUGUUGGUUCAGGAACCGCUGAAGAAUUGCAACUUUUACCUGGAGCUAACUCUGCAAAUAGCACUGCUGGGUGAUUUUUAAAAAGUCAGUCAAUUAAUUGAAUAAUACGUUUAGCAAGAAUGUUUCUUUAAUUUACAGUAUGUAGAAUCUAUGAGAAUAGAAAGGUUCAGAACUUUUGUAAAACAGCAAAGUUUUUUUUUUAAAUAUAUGGAAACUAGAAAUCAGCUGGAUUGUGUUCAUAGAUCGAUGGCAGGGGUUGAGUGGAGCUGAAGGAUGGGAUUAAAAACAAACAAAAGAUAACUAUUGUAAAAUAUACUGUGUCUGUGAAAUGUAUGUAUAAGCUGGAAGUAGAAGCCUAAGUGUUAUCCAUUUUGUUUACUCCAGUUAAGGGUGGGGUGGUAGCGUUAGGGGAAAAUAAUAAAUAACAUAUAUUUUAAAAAUAUAUAAUAAUCAUGUUGGAUUGGAAAUAAUGCACACUAUUACAUUGAUGGAAGCCACAAUCUAUCUGUAAUUUUGAAGCUGAUCUACCCCCUGAUUUGUGUAUAUAUAUUAUAUAUAUUUUUUGUUAUAAUAGCUAGCUAGUGUUUAACAUUACUUGCUAACACUAAUAUCUAUCUUCCACAGAUUAAAGGUGUUAUCAAAAAUGUUGCUAAUACACUAGCUAAUAGUAAAUUAGUCUUAAGUGCAAUAUGCAGAAAUCACAACGCCAUUUCCUGGUUGCUAAAAUUCUAAUAGUUUGCCUAAUAUCCGUUUGUGACAAGGCAUACAAUGUAUAGUGUAGAGAAUAAUUGUACCAUCUAAACUGCUGUGAAAUAUAUUUCAAAAACCCAAACAUUUUAUUUUCAGCUGUUUUUUGAAGUUGGUGUACAAAACCGAAAGUAAAAGACGCGAAAAUGAAACUUAAGAACAGGAAUCAUAAAAUGACCUCAGAUAUACAGCUUCUUAGACUUGCUUUCAAUGGGGGAUUGGAACUUGUUGGGGAGAGUAUCUUAGAAGAGGUACAUAUUCAUUCAACCAUUGUGGGAAAAAAUCUGGCUAACCAUCCUUUUUAUAUUCCGGAUGCUCGUACUUGGCGUGGCAGCAGAGGAUGUUUGGGACGAUGAGCAGAGUGAGUUUGUAUGCAACACCAAGCCUGGGUCGCCCAAAUCUCCCCAAUAACGCAUAUUGCAGCUUUACAAUUGGAGUCACGUGUGCUGACAAAGGAUGCAAGCUAGCUCAUUUACCAUCUACCUAGCUAGGGACAACUCGCUAACUAGCGUGUUAAUCCAAAAACGCUAGCUAAACAAAUUCCAGGGAACUUCUGCCAUGUUGAUGUUAGGUAGCGGCUACAGUUUGCCUGCUAUAGCUAAGCUAACUAUCCAUCAAGCGUGACUUAGCUAGCUAACUAUAUUAUGCCAAAUAUUAUCUUGUCCUAAAUCGUCUAGCAGAAAGUUUUACCUAAUGCUAACUAGCUAACAUUUCCUAGCUAGCUAGGACAGACGUGCUAGCAAGAUAGCUAGCUACUUUGCUAGCUGAGCAGUUUGCUAAAUCAUCCAGCAGAACUUCUGUAUCCAAAAGUGAAACAAACUGCAUAGAGAAUUUAUCCUCUCUCUGUCGUCAUUUUCAUCUUGUGAACAGUUUUAUUUCGCACAAUCUUUUCCGUCUGGGCUUUGCACACGACGCACUGUAACGUCAGUGUCAACACAUUCUGGGCAUGUUCCAUGUUGUCUUUAUUUCAAGUGUGUUUCACAGAUGGGCAGAUCUCACAAAAUUGGGCAGUUCUCCGAAACCAGCGAACCAAUAAAAUGGCUUGAGAUGUUCAGACGAGGCCUUCAUUCCUGGAAUAAAUAAGUGUACCAAUGCAUCAUCAUUGUUUCAAAUGUGGGGCAUGACACAUCAUGGGAGUUGACCAUUGGUGUGAAAACCAACAAUUUCUGUUCCUGGGACAGAACAACAGUGUAUCACACCAAAAAAUUGCAAAGCGAUUUUCCCAACUGAUGAAGCUUUUUAAGAAGAAGGAGAAGAUGGCAAACUGACUUCUGAAUGUUUUUUUAAUUCGAUGAAGAUUUCACUUACCAGACUCCUUAUACUCUCAGACGUUUCAAGGUCAAGACUUGAAUGUCCCAUUUGAUGAAUGAGUGGAAGCAGAUCUGAAUGUGAAGCCUGUAAUUAAUGGACUUGGAACUAAUGAACACAGUCAACUAGAACUCCAAAUGAAAUGUGUUUUUGUGCUGUGGUCAGUAAGGAUCUGAAUAUCCAUGAGGUAAAAUCCACACAGGGUUCAAUAUUCAAUAUUAUCGCCCCACAGCCAAAAUGAAUACAACUUGUAUAAACUGUUUU